rnacentral:tRNA from 1 species
GGGGUGGUGGCUCAAUUUGGUUAGAGCACCGGCCUGUCACGCCGGAUGUUGCGAGUUCGAGUCUCGUCCAUCCCG